rnacentral:ncRNA from 2 species
UUAAAGCCGACUGGAGAGAGGCUGCUCAGGCAGUCCACCGAAGGGGCAAGCAGAGCACGGCUCUGUAAACUCUCAGGUAUCAGGGACAGGGGGAGAGGC